AUUGAACGCUGGCGGCAGGCUUAACACAUGCAAGUCGAGCGGGGGAAGGUAGCUUGCUACCGGACCUAGCGGCGGACGGGUGAGUAAUGCUUAGGAAUCUGCCUAUUAGUGGGGGACAACAUCUCGAAAGGGAUGCUAAUACCGCAUACGUCCUACGGGAGAAAGCAGGGGAUCUUCGGACCUUGCGCUAAUAGAUGAGCCUAAGUCGGAUUAGCUAGUUGGUGGGGUAAAGGCCUACCAAGGCGACGAUCUGUAGCGGGUCUGAGAGGAUGAUCCGCCACACUGGGACUGAGACACGGCCCAGACUCCUACGGGAGGCAGCAGUGGGGAAUACUGGACAAUGGGGGGAACCCUGAUCCAGCCAUGCCGCGUGUGUGAAGAAGGCCUUAUGGUUGUAAAGCACUUUAAGCGAGGAGGAGGCUACUCUAGUUAAUACCUAGGGAUAGUGGACGUUACUCGCAGAAUAAGCACCGGCUAACUCUGUGCCAGCAGCCGCGGUAG
rnacentral:rRNA from 1 species